rnacentral:rRNA from 1 species
UACAGAGGGUGCAAGCGUUAAUCGGAAUUACUGGGCGUAAAGCGUGCGUAGACGGUUAUGUAAGUCAGAUGUGAAAGCCCCGGGCUCAACCUGGGAAUUGCAUUUGAGACUGCAUAGCUAGGGUGCGGAAGAGGGAAGCGGAAUUUCCGGUGUAGCGGUGAAAUGCGCAGAUAUCAGGAGGAACACCGGUGGCGAAGGCGGGUUUCUGGGCCGAUACUGACGCUGAGGAGCGAAAGCGUGGGGAGCGAACAGG